rnacentral:lncRNA from 1 species
CCUAAUCUAGCCCCAACUUUCUUUGUUAAAGAAAUCCUCUUUACACUUGCCUUAGCUCCAACUUUCUUUGCUAAAGAAACCCUCUUUACACUUGCCUUAGCUGUGGGGCAAACCGUUGUAUUUGGACAUCGAAACCAUAAACAAAACUCGACCCAACUGUGCUAGAGUGAAAGUUUUGGUGGACCUCAAAGCCAACCUUCCUAAAUUUGUUAACAUGGAGAUCUGCAAUGAAACUACACGAGCUAGUAGGAAUACACAAGUUAAAAUUCAAAUAUGAUCAUAUGCCUAAGUACUGUUUUUAGUGUAAAAUACUAAGGCACAUGAUGGAGAACUGGUAGUGAGAUAGUAGGUUCUCCACAAUAGCAAAAAAAAAAAGGAUUUCUUUUCCUCCGAAGAUAUUGACCAGUGGAAAGAUUGCUGGUGAUAAGUGUGGAUGAAAUUAAAAAUAAGAAGGUGGUCACAAUGGAUAGUAAGAAAAGCAAUUCUCAAGAUUUGCAUCAGCAAACUGAUACAGCCACAGAAAUCAACACACAACAAUUUUGCAACACAAACAGAAGAGGUGGAGAAUAUCAAUGCAAAUGAAGUUCAACAAAGCCCCACAAAGUCAAAGUGAAAAAAUAUGUACUCCCAUCCAGAAAAAUACUAAAUUCCAGGAAGCAGUAAUCAAAACUCUGUUCAAGGCACAAAGUUGAAAAAUUUGUUCAAAAACACAGAAGGUGUGGCAGACAAGGUGGUAGAUGUCCCAAAAGGAGGUGUGGCAGACAAGGUGGUAGAUGUCCCAAAAGGAGGUGUAACAGAACUUGCUUUAGUCAAUCAGUCCACUCCUAAAACUACUGGAUCUAGGAAAUGGGGUGAUAGAAGAAGAUGAUGGUGUGAAAAAAAGAGAACUGCAGGUGUCGGGUUAAAAGUAGGAAAAUAGAAUGAAAGAGUAGAUUAGGAGAAACGAGGUGAAAAUCAAGGAGUGGACAUGAACCUUAUGCAUAUUGAUGAGGUUUAGUCCAAAGAGAUCAAUAUUAGCUCCCAUGAACAUUGAUCCUAUUUAGGCUGUACAAAGUGAUUGGAAACAGGUGGAAAUAUACAAUGACCAUGAUAAUUUUGAUGAAAAGAUGGGAGUCUAAUUUGGAGAAGAUAACUGACUAGGGGAAUUUAAACUUGGAUCAAAUCAGUGAUCAGGAGAAUUCAAAUAAAGAACUGUCACCAAAUAGGAAGUUACAUGCUAUUGUAACUCUUGAUUUGAAUAUAGAGGAAUUAGCGGAACUCAACAAGGAGGGGAAGUUGAAAAUUGAAGGAAAUAAAAGUUAUCAACAGUUUGAUACUUCUCUAAAAUCAAGAUAAGGAAGGAGGAACAAAAAGCAUGAUGUCUUAGCAAAUAAAUUACCCUCAAGGGUAAUCACAAGAGGUGCUGCCACCAAAAUUAAUCAAAAACAAUGAUGAAAGCAUUUAUAUGGGACAUUAGAUAUGUUAAAAGUCAUCAAGAUUUUAAUAGAGUUCAAAUGAUUCAUAAGCAUCACAAAUUCAGUUACAUAGCUCUUUUAGAGCCUUUUCAAAGAUAUACUCAGAUGGGUAAGUACAAGAGAAGGUUAAGUAUGGAGCAGACAGGUAGAAACUACAAUGGUAAGAUCUAGUAUGUUAUAGAGGAUAAUAUUGGGGUAGAAGUGGUUACUGACUGACUAAUCGAUCACUUUGAAAUUAACAUUCCCUGACAACAUUUGUUACACUACUCUAGUCUAUGCCAAAUGAAUUAAAAGAGAAAGACUGAGUUUGUGGGAUUCUAUACACCAGCUAGCUAAUUCCAUUACUUUACCUUGGCUUGGUGGAGGAGAUUUCCAUGUGAUUAUGAAUGGAGAGGAGAAAAUUGGCGGUCUUCAUGUCCUUCCAAAUGAAUAUGAGGAGUUUGCAUUUUUAUUGAACUCUUGUGAACCCUUUGAAACUGUUUUCAAAUGAAUAUGAGGAGUUUGCAUUUUUAUUGAACUCUUGUGAACCCUUUGAAACUGUUUUCAAAGUCCCCUUCACAUGGUGGAAUGGUAGAGCUGGUCCCAACUGUACUUUUAAGAGAUUGAAUAGAAUAGUAAUAAAUCAACAAUGACAAGAUUGGUUUGAAGAUGUGGAGGUGGAGCACUUGGCCAGAAUUGGGUCUGACCAUAUGCCCCAAUGACGAUUACUAUGAAGAAAAACAAGCAACAGUUUUAUAAACCCUUCAAAUUCUUGGCUUUCUGGAUAAAAAAUGAAGGGUUCAUGGAUAUUGUGAGAACCAAUUGGAAUGUUGAAGAAGGAAAUUCCUUUUACAGGUUCAUUUAAAAAAGAGAGAAGUAUGAUUACCCUGAA